rnacentral:rRNA from 1 species
UACGAGGGGUGCAAGCGUUGUUCGGAAUUAUUGGGCGUAAAGGGUAGGUAGGUGGUCUCAUUUGUCUGGGGUGAAAGCCUUGAGCUUAACUCAAGAAGUGCCCCGGAAACGGUGAGACUAGAGUACUGGAGAGGGUCGUGGAAUUCCCGGUGUAGCGGUGAAAUGCGUAGAGAUCGGGAGGAACACCAGAGGCGAAGGCGGCGACCUGGACAGUAACUGACACUCAACUACGAAAGCGUGGGUAGCAAACAGG